GACAGAGGGUGCAAACGUUGUUCGGAAUUACUGGGCGUAAAGCGUGUGUAGGCUGCCCCGCAAGUCGGGUGUGAAAGCCCUGGGCUCAACCUGGGAAGUGCACUCGAAACUGCGGGGCUGGAGUCCUGGAGAGGAAGGCGGAAUUCUCGGUGUAGAGGUGAAAUUCGUAGAUAUCGAGAGGAACACCGGUGGCGAAGGCGGCCUUCUGGACAGUGAC
rnacentral:rRNA from 1 species